UGAUAAAAACUAAGUUGGGUACC
rnacentral:siRNA from 1 species